GUUUGGCAUCAACUCUCAGAUGCCCAUUCAUCUCGCUCCAUGUACAGCCUCCUCCAUUUAAAAUCAAGUAUUCUAGAUCCAUUACAUUUUGCUCUUCUGAUCAUAUAUGUGUCCAAGACUUUCAGGAGAUGACUCCGAUAUGGGGGCCGCUCUAGAAACUCAUCGAGGCAAUCGCUCUUCCAGACACCAUGAUAAAGACUUCAACAUAGUUUGUCUCAUCUUCACUAUGCAAGGACUACAGACCAUUCACAGGAAUAUCUCCAUUAAUUGAUGACUGGGUUUGGGCCAUUGGCCUGUCCCAAGGAGUUGUGAGCCCUUUAGAAGCCAUGCUUCCAUUGUUUCCUAAUGCAUGGAGUGGUGCGGCAUUAUUUAAAACCUGCGGUUUUCCUUUGACUUGUUACAGACUUUGGCUUUUAUAAGUAAUAUAUGCUUACUAUUACUAUUCAAUAUGUUCCUAUGUAAUUCUAAAUUACUUUUUCACUCUCGAAAGGAACUUCCAUGUGGAACGCACGUGUAACAUUCCUAGUUAUAUUAAAUGGAUCAAAUAAAGUUUCUAUAUUAAA